GUGUUGGGUAUAAAAUACCCUCAGCUGAAGUUCUUAACGGGAUUGGCCCUCCCAGGACUCCUCCGGCUUUCGACUGCAGAUGGUAUCUCUCCAGACUUCUCCAACAGUCGGAUUUCUACGGUGCUGACUGAAUUUCCCCGAUGGACGAACUCCCACUGCACCACCCGAACUCCUUCAACAUGAGUUCCCCCAAUCAUCUAUUAAGCCGCCCCA
rnacentral:lncRNA from 1 species